UUACUGUCUUGCGCCGAUUUGAUGAACAGCUUGCGGGCGCGUAAAAAAUACUGCUAAAGCGCGUCGCAUGACGAACC
rnacentral:ncRNA from 2 species